CACGUAGGCGGAUCUUUAAGUCAGGGGUGAAAUCCUGGAGCUCAACUCCAGAACUGCCUUUGAUACUGGGGAUCUCGAGUCCGGGAGAGGUGAGUGGAACUGCGAGUGUAGAGGUGAAAUUCGUAGAUAUUCGCAAGAACACCAGAGGCGAAGGCGGCUCACUGGCCCGGUACUGACGCUGAGGUGCGAAAGCGUGGGGAGCAAACA
rnacentral:rRNA from 1 species